AAGUCAUCACACUUUCCUUAUUUUCUUGGCUGCAUCAGAUCAGAAGUCCAGCCCCUCUCUCUCUACUCCUUUUCCUCUUUCUUUGUUCUUCUUUCUCUCUUCUUCUGUUGCUUCUACACGGCAGCCCUCCCUUUCUCACCAACACAAUAUAUUCCUCUCUAAAGAAGAAAUUAAAGGGUUAACACUAAAAUUUCAGCUUCCAAGUUUGUGGGUGUUACCAGUAUCCAAGUCAAAGCUCCUUCGACUUUAGGCUCUCGGUUCCUCUACUUCCAGUUAGCAGGUGUUAUUUUGGAGCAGAGGGAGCCUUAGUCGAGUUUUGAAAGGAGCUGGUUUUAGUUUGAUAUGUAUAGAUCCUAAAUUAGCAUUCUGACAUUUAGCUUUAUAGUUAUUGUGUAUUUUAGGAUCAAAUGAAAGUUGUGUAUACCUUAAAGUAUCAAGCUAUGUAUUAUGUAAAAGUGUGGAAACUAAAUGAUUGGUGGAUUAUGUUAUUCUUUGGAGUACAAUGUAGAUGCUCUGAAUGUCAAGUCAAAGGUUAUAUCAUUUAAGUAAAGAAACAA